AAAAUACUAACUGAUUUCUCAUCUGGGUCUGGUAUAUCCGCUUACAACUUGCCAUAUUCUAGCACUCUAAUCAGUGCAGUUGGGAAUUUUGUGGCACAUAAAUAAGCUGAGUUGCUGGUUCCCUUUUGGUAGCCAACGUUUCUUGAGGACUUCAUUCCUUUUUUUCUUAUGGUAAUG